CGUCGGUGCCUGUCACGGACGCGCAUGCGUGACGCGGCUGAGAGCGGGAGCGGUGACGUGCUGCCGGCGGGCCUGAGGGCAGGCAGCGGCGGGUGGCGCUGCUGGCGGCAGCGCCCGGGCCGCAAGGAGCUGCCGACCGGGACCGCUUCAAAACUCGUUUCCCGCCUUGACCUGCCUUAAUCACGUCAGCUCUGGACUUUUCCCCAGAUCUCCUGACCCGAUGACAUCUACUGAGUCAAGGAGCCUGUUGGAGGAUGAAAUCGGAUCUGGAUAAAUGUCCUGGCUACUGACAUCACUGAUGAAAUAAUAAUGCCCCCGCAGCCUGCUUUCUGUGUCAUAAUGAUCCAAGAAAGAAAUCUACUUUCGUAUGCAAUGGAGGAAGCAGAGCUACACUGAAGCGUGCAGAGGAGGGAUGCUGUCACCACAAAUGAUCUGUUGUGGAAUAAAAACUUUCUCCACAAAUCCAACCAAACAGCAGCAAACUGGGUGAAAAUGAAGCCUGGCCUAAACCAAAGGAGCAAACCCCAUCGGGCACCAUUGGUUCGUGUUGGUGCCGUACCCAGUCAGUGCGAUAUUGUCCUCACUCCUCGACUGGAUUCUCUACAGAAUUAAUUAGGUUUCUAUAUUUCUAUAUAUGGCUGUGUUUUCUUAUCGUACACAUUCUGUCAGGACUAAGAUAAAUAGCCUAGGAUUUACAGUCACCACUGGUGGUCCACGCUGUAAGUAGGGCAGAGACCGGUUUACCGUCACUAAGUGCCAUUGGUAACGAGUGUCAUGGAGAUCUUGGCUGGGGCUCCACAUGGAGAGGGAGUUUUACUUUGCACCUAAAAUGAUGAUCUGAGCCUCCUAGAGAAAUAUGAGAAACAGCACCUCCUCUGCAAACUCGACAUUGUUCCCACAGGCAAAGGGUGCUCUUUCGGGGAAGGUACAAGUAAAUCUGCUGAACAGUUUAUGAGAUGAAAGUAAUUAAAAUCUGGGUCCAUUAGGUGUGCGGUACCUACAAAUUUUGUUUUUCCCAAACAUUGCUAAUACUGGAAAGAUACCUGACUCUCAGAACUACAGAUUCAUGGAAACUUGUUCACAGGCUGUGUUGGGAAACAUCCAAUCGUAAUUAGACUCAACAGCAAUUCUACCUAUUUGUUGUGCGGGGCAAGGUAAUAUCGGUAGCUCAGGUGAGCGUAGCCAUCGUGCCUCCAGGGAGAGAUGCAGAGCUCAGCAGCCCUCUGCCCUGAGUGCCUUGCUGACACUGAGGCCACCACCCCGCGGGCAGCCACGGGUGCCAGGUGCUGUCACUGGAGGUCACUGCAUGCCGUUGUCACCGUCACGUAAAGGUUCUGGGGAAGUGAGGCAGCUGCAGCCCUUCAGGCACAGCGUUGGUGCAGUGGGUUUGGCUGGUGAGAGCGUUUGCUGCCAGAGGGUGAGACGAUCAGCGCGGUGCUUUGCCACACAGCCUCAGCAGGCUUCCCUUGAGCUGCUGGUGUGCAGCAACACUCUUGCACUCAUCUGGCUGUGGAGGUCUGUUCAGCACCAGAUAAAUUCUCACUUGCUGGCUUUUUGACUCCUCUGCAAAAGCCAGUGGGCCCCUGGAAGUCUCCCAGAGACCAUCUUUCUAUGUCCUCACAAAGGCUGGCUGUUGUCAUGUGAUGUAUGGCUUUCAAUUCCUGGAUAUUAUCAGGAAACUAGAAGCACCUGAAAGAUUUGUUAGUGUGAUCCUGUAAAUGGCACUACUUGAACCAUCCCUGUGAUUGGGACCAUGACCUACAGUGCGGAAAGCAUGAGUCUGCCCUGUUGGAGAGGAGAGACAAAGUUUAAUGCUCAGAAACUUUUUCGGCUUCUUCUGUAUUUAACCACUAGAGGGAAUGAUGGCAAAGUCUAUGGGUUUUGUUUAAAGUCAGACUAUGUUUUGUGUAUAAGGCAUGACUUCACCAGCCCUCCCACGGCCACGAGGUGCCCUAUCCAUGGCAGCAGUAACCCUCACCCACACUGCAGGGUUGCUGAAGCUCUUACUCCUCCCUGUCCACCCAGAGCGUUGUGUUUGCUUUGCACGUGAGGAGAUGCUAGCAAAUAAAAUCUUACCCACAAUGCUGGUGCAUUUUCCUUAGUGAAGGCCAGGGGUCUUCCAAGAAGGUUUUCUGUCCUUGCCAUCUGUCUUGCUUGAUUUCUCUCACUGCUUAGGCAGGUCUCAGCCAUCCGCUCAGAGCAGCAGAACACAGCCAUGGUGCAGAACAGGACGGAGGAAAGAUGUGAAGCAGCGAGGUGAGGGGAGAUAGUAGGGGACCGGCUGGUUGGAAGCACAUCUGUUUCACCAGUCCCAAGCCCUGAUUUCAGUUACCCUGGGCCUCGCAGUAUUUACUGGAAUAUUUGGUGGAGGGAUGUGUUGUAUUUGCAGCAGAGUGAAUAUGCAUCCACAGUAACACGAAUCAGCCCUAAAUGUCAUAAACAUAAGAAUAACCAAGUCUCAACACUGAGUGCAUAUCUAGAUCCAUGCUAAUGGAGUAAUGAAAGCCAGCUUUUUACUGUAUGCUUUCCAUAUAUGAUAAAGCGAUCCAUAUGUUUUUGUGUCCCAUAAUUCCUUCCAAAGCAAACAUCUUAAACACUGCAAUAUAGGUGCUAUUUGAAACUCAAACCGGCCUAAUAAGACAAUUACAAGAAUACAUAAGCCACAUGCUAGGAAAUAACAAUAUUGUAGCAACAUAAAAUGUGUACAAAUAUAUAAUUACUUACGUUAUCCAGAAAUGCUGCCACAAAUGGCUUUUCAAUUUCCUGGGUCACAAAAGAAGCAUUUUCUUCGUAACGUUGUGACCAAAGAUACUGAUAAACAUCAUAAAAAUUAAUUGCUCACCCCUCUCCCAACCUAAAUCAUUAGCCAUAAUUAUGUUAGCAUUUUCCGCCUGUUUCCAACAACUUCAUAAGCCACGAAACUGCUGGAAAACACUCAAAAAGUGGGUGUCUCUCUGGAAAAAGUAUAUUAUAAUUUUUUAAAUUUUAAUACAUAAUUUUUCACUGGUGUUUUGGAUUUCUGGCAGGUGAUGUCUCUGUAAUGACAUCUGCAGCGAAGGAAAGGCUUUUAAGCUUUUGUUGGAAGUUUGCAAUGUCAGCUCAUAUGUACGAAUCUUUGGGCCUUUUAAUUGUUCUUUCUCUUCUGGAGGAAGGGGCUUGGAAGGAAACAUGGUUGCUGCUUGAUAAUAAAAAUUACCCUCACAGUGCGGGGCUCCUCCUGAUUGCCUGUAGGACCUGGGUGGAUUUCUUGCGCUCCUUGUGCUCCUAUGCCCAAAUUGUCCUUCUUGCUCAGCAGGGCCGGCGUGGUGCAAGGGUGACGGGGCUGCCCGCCGCCGCGGGCUGCGUCUCGUGUGCCUGGCACUGUGCGGGGCCCUCUCUCCUGCAGGGUUAGGUGGUAUCGCAGCUGUCAUUAAUACCCCCCAAACUCUUCAUGUCCCUUGUGGUUGCAGGCAGGAACUUGAAUAUUUGAAUACAAAACCCACAGAUGUCUUCAUGGUUCAAGAAACAGAGACAGCUCAGACAGACGUGUCAUUUCCUGACCUCAUGUUUUUAAGGCCAGUUUUAUCCCCAUUAUUACUGGUAGGGCUUGGGGCAAAAACACUGAAACAGGAGUUUUACAGUGAGUUUGGUGUUUUAUUUGCUGCUUACUUUAGAUUCAUGGUUCCUGUAUUUCCUCCAGUGAAUGCCAGUUGCUUCACCCCAUUGUAGCAGCUUUACCCAUCCAUUGAGUGGGAGAAAAAUGCUGCCUCAGGAGGGCACGAAGGAGUAUAUAACCUCCCCAGGAUUCGCUGCAUGGAUUCAAGUCCAAGCCUGCUACUCCCCCUGUCUUUUUUCCUGCCUGUGAUUUCCCAGUUGUCCACCCGCUGACCCCUCGCUCAGCUCUCCACGGCCUCUCAGCUGUGUUUCGCAUAGUUUAGCUGCGGACACCUCCACCCAGGAGGAGCAGCAGUCACAAGCCAGCAUGCCCAGCAUGCUCCACGCCUAACAUCAGCUCUCCAAAAGCUAAACGUUUUGCGUGAGCUAGUUGCUCUCAGCUCCUUGUAUGGCUUCCAAAGAGAGAGAAGCUUCUCCAGAGAACAUUUCCUCUUCCCUCUCCUUAUAGCUCCCGAGCUGCAAUGGGAGGGCAUGACCACAUGCCCCGUGGUCUAUGGAGGGAAGCUCUGUGCUCCUCUCGGAGAGGCUACGGCUGGACAUCGCCUCCCUCCCUGGGUGUAACCCUGCUGAGAUGGCAGCAGGCAGGAGAUGCCUGGAGGGGAAAAAACUGGAGGGAGGUGAGGUGUUGGCCUGGUGAAGUUUUCCUUUACUCCUGGUGUUGCUGGGCUUUUGGAGAAGUGACUGAAGCUGGUUUUGCUGGUACAGCUUGGAGGCUUGGGGUGUCACUGAGGAAGGGAGGUCAGGAAGGUGAGCCCAGGACUGCCCUGGGGAGGAGCUGGGGCAUAGGCCGAGAAGGAUACGGGAACUGGAAGGGACUGGGAGCUGUGAAGGGGACAUUAUGUACGAAGCAUUGUGUUUUCACUUGUACUAUCCAUUGCUCAAUUUGCAAUCCAUGGUCAGGGCAAAAGCAGCAGUGGAAUUCAACAUAUUUAGACUCACUGGGCACACUUAGUCACAAAAACUUAAAGCUUUUCACCAAGCAGACCACGGCGGGCAGACAAGGGCUCCUCUUCCCAAGAAGGAUCCCAGGAGGAUUGCAGAAGAGCUUUGGGCACACACUGCGGGAACUUCUGCCGUCGCAUGCGACCUUGACACCAGCCCUUCAUCUUCUGACUUCUGACCCACCGGGCUGAAGAACUGUUCUAAGGACCAGGCUGGUGUGUGAAGCCGUAACUCCUUCCCUGAUCCUACAGCUGAAUAAUUCAGGUUAUUCCGUUUCAUUGUGGAGCCCCAGAGCUAGGAACCACUGCAGCCCGGCUGUUCCCCUUCUCCAGCCUGGGUGUCCCAGGCUGUGUUUUGCAGGGGCUGAGGGGAAAAGGUCCCCCGAGUGCCUACCCCUUGCUUUACUGCUAGUCUUUUCCUUCAUUUGUGGGUGAUUCUGAAGCACAGAUUUACUUUCUUCCAGUGCAGGAGGAGACGGCUGUAGAAACACAUGAGCCUUGUAAUAAUUAUAAACUAAUAAAACCCCCUCUCCGAGG